UACGUAGGGUGCGAGCGUUGUCCGGAAUUACUGGGCGUAAAGAGCUCGUAGGUGGUUUGUCACGUCGUCUGUGAAAUUCCGGGGCUUAACCUCGGGCGUGCAGGCGAUACGGGCAAUACUUGAGUGCUGUAGAGUAGACUGGAAUUCCUGGUGUAGCGGUGAAAUGCGCAGAUAUCAGGAGGAACACCAAUGGCGAAGGCAGGUCUCUGGGCAGUUACUGACGCUGAGGAGCGAAAGCAUGGGUAGCGAACAGGAUUA
rnacentral:rRNA from 1 species